GAUGAACGCUAGCGGCAGGCUUAAUACAUGCAAGUCGAGGGGCAGCAGGGUAGCAAUAUCGCUGGCGACCGGCGCACGGGUGCGUAACACGUAUACAAUCUGCCUUUAACAGGGGGAUAGCCUUUCGAAAGAGAGAUUAAUACCCCAUAAUAGUUGGUUUGGCAUCAAACUAAUUUGAAAGUUCCGACGGUUAAAGAUGAGUAUGCGUCUGAUUAGCUAGUAGGUGAGGUAACGGCUCACCUAGGCCACGAUCAGUAGGGGAUCUGAGAGGACUACCCCCCACACGGAUACUGAGACACGGAUCCGACUCCUACCGGGAGGGCAGCAGUAAAGGGAAAUAUUGGACAAUG
rnacentral:rRNA from 1 species